GCCUGGGUGGCUCAGUCGGUUAAGCGUCUGACUUUGGCUCAGGUCAUGAUCUUGCUCGGUUUGUGAGUUAGAGCCUCGCAUUGGGCU
rnacentral:tRNA from 1 species